GCCGGCGUAGCUCAGAUGGUUAGAGCGAAGGACUCAUAAGCCUUAGGUCGGUGGUUCGAUUCCACCCGCCGGUACCA
rnacentral:tRNA from 1 species